ensembl:lncRNA NAMA non-protein coding RNA, associated with MAP kinase pathway and growth arrest
ACUUUCAAGCUAAAAGGAAGGAGGCUCAGCAGUGGGUUUCCAACUGUGGUCUGCCUUAGUAUCCCUGCCACACUCAGUUGCUGAUUGUCUAGAAGCAGCCAACAGGAAGAGUGGCCUCUACAUAAAUAUGGGUGCAAGCAGCUGGAGGCCAUGAUCAACUGAACUCUCUCUUCAGGAGACAUAUUCUUAUGGCCACCACACCUACCCAAUCCUGAUGUCUUUUGCUUGAACAUCCACAUCAGCCUCCUUCCUUGGUUCACAAUGACAGUCCAACUUCUGCCAGUCCUGACUGUCAUUCAAGCCUUUUUGCUAUUUAAGAAUUUUGAGGAAGAAAACCGUCAUGUACUCAAAAUCCUGGUAAUCAGAAGUGUCUGGAGAUUUCGAGCUGUUAACAUAGAGAGGUGGCAAAAUUAUUUUCUGGGAUAUCCUUAUGGGCCUGAAUGGCAGCGGGAGUCGACAUAGCUGGUGCCUGGGCAGGUUUCCAAAGCACAGCCGAGGUGGAGAGUAGGUGAGGGCUGCAACAAAGGUCCCGACAUCUGAAGAGCACUGCACAGUUUGUCAGAGGAUUUCAGCUCCACACUCUCACUUAGUCCUCACAGCAACCCCAUGCAGUGACUGCUGUCACUUCUUUUCAUGGCUGAGAAGACUGUUGGGAGAGGAAAAAUGAAUUGCCCACUGGCAGGCAGGUAAGAGGCACAGCUGAAACUCUCACCUAGUUCUUCUGACUCCAAGCCCAUCAUCUCAGGAUUGUACCCAAGUGGCUCUUGCACCAGUAUCAGCGCCAAUGGCAGGGUCAGCAGAAAAUAGCAGAGGGGCCUGAAAACAGAUGGGAACAUCUGGAAAAGGCAGUGGGGAGCUGUUGAGAGCAUUUUGAGUGGGGCAGUGACACUGCUGGCUCUGCAUUUUGGAAAGGUGGUUUUCAGAGCAGUUUGGAUGAUGCUGGGGAGUAGCUGACAGGUUGAAGAUCAGUCCUGAGGAGCAGAUUCAUAAUCCACUUAGGAAAAAGGAGGGGGGAUGCACGGAGUUAGCACAUAUUAAGUGCCUGCUGUAGUCAAGCCCUGUUGGACACCAGGGACAUCUGGACCUUGACAACGGAGCGAAGGGGUGGUCCUGCCUGCACCAGGUUUCAGGUGAGGAGAUUGAGGCCCACAGAGAUCCGGGACUGGCCUCACUUAGCUGGCUGGUCCCUGAGUGCUCCAAGGACCCAUGCAUCUGACCAUAGGGGAUGCUGGGAGUAUCCUCCAUCCUGGCCUGAAAGAGCUCCCUUUCAGCUUCCUGGAUUCAUAUCUCUUUCUGAAAACUGACUUCCCAUAUUCCCAAAGCCAUCGCCAGCUCCCAGCUUUGUCAUUCAGGAAAAAGAGUAUGCACCUCCCCUUCAUCCUCCUCAUCUCUCACCAUCAUUAAGUACAAGCCCAAGGAGAAGAAUCAAGGGCAAUGAAUCUUCAUCAAACAAUAAAAUCCUGCCUGGUACCAGACCUACCUGUGCCAUCCAA